rnacentral:rRNA from 1 species
UACAGAGGGGGCAAGCGUUAUUCGGAAUUAUUGGGCGUAAAGGGCGCGUAGGCGGCCUGGCAAGUGGAGGGUGAAAUCCCUCGGCUUAACCGAGGAACUGCCCUCCAAACUGCUUGGCUUGAGACCGGGAGAGGUGAGUGGAAUUCCCAGUGUAGCGGUGAAAUGCGUAGAUAUUGGGAGGAACACCAGUGGCGAAGGCGGCUCACUGGACCGGUACUGACGCUGAGGCGCGAAAGCGUGGGGAGCAAACGGG